rnacentral:rRNA from 1 species
GGUGGUGCAUGGUUGUCGUCAGCUCGUGUCGUGAGAUGUUGGGUUAAGUCCCGCAACGAGCGCAACCCUUAAGCUUAGUUGCCAUCAUUAAGUUGGGCACUCUAAGUUGACUGCCGGUGACAAACCGGAGGAAGGUGGGGAUGACGUCAAAUCAUCAUGCCCCUUAUGAUUUGGGCUACACACGUGCUACAAUGGACAAUACAAAGGGCAGCGAAACCGCGAGGUCAAGCAAAUCCCAUAAAGUUGUUCUCAGUUCGGAUUGUAGUCUGCAACUCGACUACAUGAAGCUGGAAUCGCUAGUAAUCGUAGAUCAGCAUGCUACGGUGAAUACGUUCCCGGGUCUUGUACACACCGCCCGUCACACCACGAGAGUUUGUAACACCCGAAGC